GAAUGGCUCAAUAGUAGAGCAUCCAGCUGGAAAUGCAGAAGUUCCCUGGUUCGAUCCCUGAUAUCUCCA
rnacentral:tRNA from 1 species